CUCCUCCGCUACUCUCCCCUUUGGUGAUUGGGCUAGAAGUAAUGUUAGCUAAUAUGUGAGGUUUAAAGCUCUAGAGUUACAUGAAAUUUUCGUCUGCGAUCGUGCUAAGCGAUAGUUUUGCCGGGCCUUCAGUUUUGAGCAGCGGUUAGGUUUCGUGACUCUGAAUCGUGCUCGGAGGUUCGAUCCUCCCGUGAGUCCGCAAUGUCAUAAUUCCCUGGUGAUUAAACCCUAGCCACCAUCAACCAGUCCCAAUUCGUAAUCAGAAUUUUGUUAUUGCAAACAACUGCAACCGUCAACUGAGGAUUGCUGUUGAUAGGUGUCAUUUCCUGUUUUCUGAGUCUCGAUCCUCCCAGUGAGUCCGCAAUGUUGCAAUUCCCUGGUGAUUAAGUCCUAGACACCAUCAACUAGUCCCGAUUUGUAAUCAGAAUUUUGUUAUUCCAAAUAACUGCAAUUGCUACUCAGGAUUGCUGUUAAUACGUGUUUUCCUUCAUUUCACAUGCACAUUUGAAAGUUAUUUCAAUCUGACACAGCCAAACUUGCGGUGCUAGACGCCUCUACCACUUUGUUUCUUAUGUGAAGUUAACUCGUGAAGGCUUGCUAAAGUUUCUGUGUCCUCACUUAGCAUAUCAGGAUUGUAAGCAUAUACAGGGAGAGUUCAUGUUCCUCUUUGUUGUGAGCAUAAAAUUCCUGUUUUCUCUCGAUUAAUUUCAGUAAACCUGCAAAACAGUUUUCCAUAUAUGUCAAAUACAGCUACUGAAUUUGAACAGCAAUCCUCUAGUAAUGUGUAUUCACCAAGGUACAAGUUUCACCUUGUAUCUCCUGUAAAAUGGAGAUUGAAGGAAAUGCAUUUUAAAGCUAUGUAGUUGUCAUAUCUGAAACACGGUAUUAGUUUGUUACCACUUAAGGAGAUGAAUUAAGAUGAUACUUUGACUUCAUGCUUAACGAAAUAGCAAACUAGAUAAAGACACGGUAAAACGGGGCGAUUAAGCCUAGGAUCAGUGGCAAUGUUAUUGGGAUCAAGUUUAAAAGGGGAAUUAUUUUGCUCCACCUUAGUAGCUCUGGCUCCUGCUGUUUCUACUUUCUAGUUAUAGAUGCUGUUGAUUUUGAACUUUAGAACUCUAACAGUAUUGUGUUGCAGGAACACAGUAAGAUGGCAAAUGGCAAGGAAAUAUCCUGGUUAUCUUACAAAAUGUGACAAGUAAUUCUAGGUUAAAAUAAAUCCGCAAAUUGUUCAUAUUUCCUUGUGGGAUUGAAUUGGAAUUUGUAAAGGAGGGAAACUGCCACUAGGAGCUUGAAGGUCGGGGGGCACUGGAGCUUGAAGGUCAUUGCCUUGUCAUUUGUCUUCGUUGAGUCAGCGGUUUGCCAGUCAGACUAUGGUUCAUUCUUAGAGCCUGCUACCCCUCUCGGCACGUCCUCGCUUUCUUGGAAUUGCACGUUAGGCAUCAUCAUUGCUGCCAAAAGAAUAGCUGAGGUUCACGAAAUGCAGGCACACCACAAAGCCCAAGAGAGGAGGCGUGCCGCUGGCGCUGGAACUUCUCUAAGAGCGAGAGAGAUGGUGUGGAGAUGUAAGUCCAUCUGGGCUAAGUAAGAUGGAAUGUAUCCGGCCCAUCCAUGAAGCUAAGAUGGAAGAGGAAUCGUCUGUGCAUGCCCAAAAGCAAAUAGAGAAGAUGAAGAGGGUUGCGGCACGCGCUUUAGACAGGGCCGUGGCACGCACUCGAGAGGCGGCGACACGUUCUCUGGAUAAGGCAGCAGCUUAUGCUGAAGGUGCAAUUUCAGGAUCCUUGAAUGAGUCACUGCUUAUGCCCCAGUCAACAUGGAACUCAAAUGUGACACCCACUCCGUCAAGCGCACCUACUCCGGCAAUAGGUACAGAUAUGGGGGCGGUGACAAACCCACCUAUGCCCAAGGAAGAGGAUGAAACUUGGAACAAGAGGCAAAUAAUGUACAUACUCGUGCUUACUACUACAGUGGGUCUGGUGUUCUUGAUCUAUCCACUGUUGCCCCCGGUCUAUGGUCGCUUGAUCCUACUAACAGUAGCUGCAGUGUGGGGGUGUGGGCAUUGUUGGCUUGCUUUGUGGUCUGGUCGGCAGUUCCAGAUGUGAGAAGGAUUGUAGCCGACAAGUGGGUUGGCUAAUCUCCACAUUGUUCGCACUAUUCAUGAUUUACUAUUUCUAUCUUGUGUCUGUGCGUACCAAUGGCACAUCUGCUUCUGCACCCGCCCCUUCUUCAUCACGCUUGGAGGGUGAUCAGACAUCUACUGACAGCAGCGAUGAGUUCUGGUGGUCGGUGGCCUUUGGUGUGGUCGGUUCCUAUCCUACGUGCUUGCAGGAUACCUAUGGGCUUGGUUUAGGGGAUGCUGGACCGGCGGCGACAGAGAUAGGAGCCCCUAGCACACGCAUCCAUAGCAUGCUAUUUUGAUUCGUAUGUGCAGAAGUUGACAAGUAUGCUGUGGGGGCAGUGACUAGCAGGACCAGCUGCGUGACUGUGUGGAUUGAUACAUGAGUAGCUAGGAUGUGUGCAUACCAUUGCAUAGUGGUGGUUGAUGUUGAUAGAAUGAUACUACUCUGCUACCCAAGAUUUUGGCUCCAUUGUAUGUUCUUCAGGUGAGGAGGCUGGCUAUUUUAGUCCUUUGGUUGUAGUGGAUAUAACAUGGCUUACACUUGUGCACUAGUACAGUUAUGCUGUCGUUUUGGUUGCAUA